rnacentral:lncRNA from 1 species
AGGUGGACCCCGGUCAGGAGCCCGGCUGGGCUCGGGUUCGGGUCCGGUGUCCCGGCAGCAGAGGGAACGGGCCCGCGGUUCGGGCGUGUUGUGCUGUGUUCUCGGGCCAGACCCGGCCGCCCGAGGGGACCCCAGCUUCCUGCCUGGUGUCAUGUGUGAAGAGAGACGGGGUCUCGCCCUGGGCUGCAGCUCCAUUGAGUUUCCUCUCCCAGUAGGAUUGGGACCCGUUGUGAUUCUGAUCCCGCGCCUCUCCCCUCCUCCUCCUCUUCCUCCUGCGGCCGCGGCAGCGACGCGCGACGCCCCCCCCAGGCCGCGCGGGGCGCCCCCUCUUCCGCGUCCCUGAGGUUCAGCCCCUUCGGCCGGGGGGCCCGGGCGAAGGCGGGGACCAGGAGGUCCCUCAGGGAGCAGGUCCUCCAGAAGAGGGCGCAGAUCGCGGGGUCCCCGGGCGGACAGCGGCGCGGCGCUGACCCCGCGACCCCGGGGAGCCCCGCUGUGCCCGGUCCAGCUGGCCCCCGGCCGGCCCCUGACCGAGCCGCAGCGUGGAUCGCUCAGCUCCGCCGCCCGGAUCCCUCCUCCUCCUCCUCCUCCUCCUCCCGGGAAGCCAGCAGCGCUGGGACGGGGCCCCCCGGCCCCUCCGCCAGGCAGAGGCUUUCGGGGGCCUCGGGGGCGAGUUGGCCGGCGGGCGGGAGAGGCCAGGAGAGCCCCUGUUCUGAGUCUCCGCCCCCCGAGUCCGGGACCUCCUGGGGCGUCCCGGGGGCUGAUCCGCGGGGACCCCCCCCGGCAGCUCCCACGUCCAGC